GGGCCUCUUUCGGGGUCCGAGUUGUAAUUUGUAGAGGGUGUUUCGGGUGAGGCGCCGGCCUAAGUUCCUUGGAACAGGGCGUCAUAGAGGGUGAGAAUCCCGUAUGCGGCCGGUGACCGACCCCGUGUGAAACCCCUUCGACGAGUCGGGUUGUUUGGGAAUGCAGCUCUAAAUGGGUGGUAAAUUUCAUCUAAAGCUAAAUACCGGCCAGAGACCGAUAGCGCACAAGUAGAGUGAUCGAAAGAUGAAAAGCACUUUGGAAAGAGAGUUAAAAAGUACGUGAAAUUGUUGAAAGGGAAGCGCUUGCAACCAGACCUGUGUCCGGGUGAUCAGCCGCCGUUCUCGGCGGUGUACUCGUCCGGUACAGGCCAGCAUCGGUUCGGGCGGUCGGAUAAAGGCCUUGGGAACGUAGCUCCCUUCGGGGAGUGUUAUAGCCCUCGGUGCAAUGCGGCCAGCCUGGACCGAGGACCGCGCUUCGGCUAGGAUGCUGGCGUAAUGGUUGUAAGCGGCCCGUCUUGAAACACGGACCAAGGAGUCUAACAUCUAUGCGAGUGUUUGGGUGUCAAACCCAUGCGCGGAAUGAAAGUGAACGGAGGUGAGAACCCUUAAGGGCGCAUCAUCGACCGAUCCAGAUGUCUUCGGAUGGAUUUGAGUAAGAGCAUAGCUGUUGGGACCCGAAAGAUGGUGAACUAUGCCUGAAUAGGGUGAAGCCAGAGGAAACUCUGGUGGAGGCUCGCAGCGGUUCUGACGUGCAAAUCGAUCGUCAAAUUUGGGUAUAGGGGCGAAAGACUAAUCGAACCAUUGACGCCACUAGGUGGUUAAUCGGGGCUCCCGACUCCAGUUUGUGGCCCUCAGUCCUUCGGGGCAACGCCGUUACUUGCAUGGAUUUCUGGGCGAUGCCAGACCAACAUGCUGCAGGAUCGAGUCCCUAGGCUCCCCUGUACACAGGUCAGAUAACGGUGGCUGCGGGCGCUCUGCUGCGUCUCGCGGUUUAGAUAUGAUCGAGUCUUUCUCGUAUCCNAGAUGGCUUCGGAGGCCUGUUUACCCGGCUCUGCCCGUCCGGGCGUCGCUUGUUCA
rnacentral:rRNA from 1 species